AGCGAACGCUGGCGGCAGGCUUAACACAUGCAAGUCGAACGCUCAUCUUCGGAUGGGAGUGGCAGACGGGUGAGUAACACGUGGGAACGUACCCUUUGGUUCGGAAUAACUCAGGGAAACUUGAGCUAAUACCGGAUACGCCCGUUUGGGGAAAGGUUUACUGCCGAAGGAUCGGCCCGCGUCUGAUUAGCUAGUUGGUGGGGUAACGGCCUACCAAGGCGACGAUCAGUAGCUGGUCUGAGAGGAUGAUCAGCCACACUGGGACUGAGACACGGCCCAGACUCCUACGGGAGGCAGCAGUGGGGAAUAUAGGACAAUGGGCGCAAGCCUGAUCCAGCCAUGCCGCGUGAGUGAUGAAGGCCUUAGGGUUGUAAAGCUCUUUUGUCCGGGACGAUAAUGACGGUACCGGAAGAAUAAGCCCCGGCUAACUUCGUGCCAGCAGCCGCCGCGG
rnacentral:rRNA from 1 species